UACGAAGGGGGGCUAGCGUUGCUCGGAAUCACUGGGCGUAAAGGGUGCGUAGGCGGGUCUUUUAAGUCAGGGGUGAAAUCCUGGAGCUCAACUCCAGAACUGCCUUUGAUACUGAGGAUCUUGAGUUCGGGAGAGGUGAGUGGAACUGCGAGUGUAGAGGUGAAAUUCGUAGAUAUUCGCAAGAACACCAGUGGCGAAGGCGGCUCACUGGCUCGUAACUGACGCUCAUGCACGACAGCGUGGGGGAUCAAACAGG
rnacentral:rRNA from 1 species